rnacentral:rRNA from 1 species
AGGACGAACGCUGGCGGCGUGCUUAACACAUGCAAGUCGAGCGGAAAGGCCCUUCGGGGUACUCGAGCGGCGAACGGGUGAGUAACACGUGAGCAACCUGCCCUUAGCUUCGGGAUAGCUCCGGGAAACCGGAAUUAAUACCGAAUAUGACUUUGGCUGACAUCAGCAGAAGUGGAAAGUUUUUCGGCUAGGGAUGGACUCGCGGCCUAUCAGCUAGUUGGUGAGGUAACGGCCCACCAAGGCGACGACGGGUAGCCGGCCUGAGAGGGCGACCGGCCACACUGGGACUGAGACACGGCCCAGACUCCUACGGGAGGCAGCAGUGGGGAAUAUUGCGCAAUGGGCGAAAGCCUGACGCAGCGACGCCGCGUGGGGGAUGAAUGCCUUCGGGUUGUAAACCCUUUCAGCAGGGACGAAGCGAAAGUGACGGUACCUGCAGAAGAAGCGCCGGCUAACUACGUGCCAGCAGCCGC